GGCUCUGUGUGCACCUGUAAGGGGCAGGGGUCUGCAGGAAUGGGACCAACGUGAGCAGGGAGCCUCCGGAGCUCUGCUCAGCCCGAGGUUGGGUUGGUUGCUGUGUCUCCCUGGUGGGAAUUAAGUCCUAUUUGGUAGGGGAGGAGGCUGUUUUCCCAGGAGGGGUUGGAUUUGACCAGGAACACGGACCAUUUUGCUGUGUUGGCUCCUCAGCCAUGUCAUGCUUCUUAUGCCUUGAUAAGACUUAUCCUGGAUUACUUUUCAGCUGCUAAUUAAUCUUGAGAGUGUUGUAAAAGCUUUGAACCUCUGCUUGAAGACUGAGUGGGUGAUUUCUGGCCUUAUCAGACAAGGGGGGGACGUGGAGGUGGGAUCCCAGUUGUGCACUGAGUUGCCCUCCCUGGGCAGCCGAGACCUCCACUCUGCAGAGAGCUGGGAUCUCUGUAUUGCUGACUGGGGAAAGGCUGAGGAUGAACCCCCCCCCACCUGUAGCUUUCAGAUGAAGUUGUAGAUUUUGGCUUGAUUUUGGCUUGAGGUUCUCCAAGUUCUGGUCAUCUUGAAUCAAACGCCAUGGGCCAGGAGCAGCAUAAAAACAGAGCAGUGACUUGAGGGCUGAACAUCCAUUCAAACCUCAUGGGACAGCAAGGGGCAAACCCAUCCCUCCCAGCUCACUGAGGCAGGGCUGGCAGAAUCCAGACUCCCACCGUCCUCUGCCAUGGUGCCAUCAGACUUCUGCAUGCAGUGUUUUGUGCAGGCAGCACACUGACCCUCGGUACACUUUGGUUUUAAGCCACCCUGGUUCAGUCUGCUCUGGAAGUAGCCUCAUCCAUCACUGCCAGCACUGCAGGACCACGGAGCAUGUCUCGCUCGCCCACACUGCCACAGCCCCUGAGCUCCAGGCAUUGCCUUCCUCACUCCAGCAGCUGCCUUCAAGUACAAUUCACUUUGUUAUUAAUUUCUUUUAUGCUGAGGCUUUUAAAGCCCCUGGGAACGGGGACUUGGGUCACGGAGACAAUCUGCAGCUGAGUGCCUCUAAAAGCCAUGGGCAGAGAGAUGGAAACCUGCAACAGCCCAUACCACCAGUGGUGGCCAAUCUGUAAAUCUGUUAUGAUGUUAUUUACAGGCCAAUAUCCCAGCCCUGUAUUGAAGACACAAUUCUUACACAGUUGGGCAGACAGCAGGAUGCAGUGCUCUCCGAGAGGACUUGAGCACUGCAGGCUGCCAAAAUCCUUAGGAAAUAUUAUUUUGGAGUCUGCUCCUCCAUGCAGGGCUGUGUGCCCCUCUCCUUACCAAUAUCAGCACACAGGACCCCCCGCCCCGGGU
ensembl:lncRNA